rnacentral:rRNA from 1 species
UACGUAGGCAGCAAGCGUUGUUCGGAGUUACUGGGCGUAAAGGGUGUGUAGGCGGUUGUUUAAGUUUGGUGUGAAAUCUCCCGGCUCAACUGGGAGGGUGCGCCGAAUACUGAAUGACUAGAGUGUGGGAGAGGUGAGUGGAAUUCCUGGUGUAGCGGUGAAAUGCGUAGAUAUCAGGAGGAACACCGGUGGUGUAGACGGCUCACUGGACCAUAACUGACGCUGAGACACGAAAGCGUGGGUAGCAAGCAGG